rnacentral:lncRNA from 1 species
UUUCAGUUUCUCACACUAGAGAAACUGUUUUGUAUUUAUACAUGUGUGUUGUAUGUAUUUCAUAUAAGAGUAUCACCUCAAUGUGCAUCCAUUUAUCUAUAAAUGUCUCUAAUUUCUCAUUUUUUAUGGCUGAUUAGUACUCCAUUUCAUAAUAAAAACCACAUUUUCUUUAUCCAGUCUCCAGUUGAUGGGCAAGUGGGCUGCUUCCAAGUUUUAGCUAUUACAAACUUUGCUGCUGUGAACAUGGGUGCACAUAUAUCACUGUGGUAUGAUUCUUUUAAUUCUUUGGGGGAGAUACCCAGCAGAGGAAUAGCUGGGUCAAAUGAGACUUCCAAUCCUAGUUCUUUGAGGUAUCCCAUACUGAUUUCCACAGUGGUUGCACCAGUCAACACUCCCACCAGCAGUGGAGCAGUGUUCCUCUUUCCGCACAGCCCCACCAGCAUUUGUUACUGGUUUUCAUGAUAGCAGCCAUUCUUUCUGGGGUGAAAUGGAAUCUCAGCGUUGUCUUCAUUUUCGUCUCUCUAAUGACCAGUGAUGUUGAACAUUGUUUCAUAUGUUUAUUUGCUAUUUCUACUUCUUUGGUCUGAGAAAUGUCUGUUCAUUUCAGAUGCCCAUUUUUGGAUUGGGUCUUUAAAUUUGUGAGGUCUGAUCUUUUUAAGUUCUUUAUAGAUUCUAGAUAGUAGACCUUUGUCUGAGAAACAGCAGGUGAAAAUUUUUUCCCACAUUGUGGGUUGUCUCUUCACACUGUUGGUGGUUUCUCUUGCUGUGCAGAAGCUUUUUAAUAAGAAGAGAUCCCACUUGUUGAUUGUUUGUGCUAGUUCACAGGCAACUGAGGUUUUGUUCAUAAAAUCUUUUCCUACACUGAUGGCUUCAAGGGCUCUACCUAACCUCUGUUCCAACUGGUUCAGUAUUUCUAUUUUAAUAUUUAGAUCUUUAAUCCAUUUCAAUUUUAGUUUAGUGCAUGGUGAGAGAUAUAGGUCUAGUUUUAAUCUUUGCAAGUUGAAACCCAAUUUUUCCAGCACCAUUUAUUAAAGAGGCUAUCUUUCCUCCAGUGAGGGUGUUUGGCUCCUUUGUCGAAGAUGAGAUGGCUGAGUGUGUCUGGCAUUGUUUCUGUAUCUUCUAAUCUGUUCCACUGGUCCUCAGGUCUGUUUCUUUGCCAGUACCAUGCUGUUUUUAUCACAGUAGCUUUGUAGUAGAGUUGAAGGUUGGGGAUUGUGAUACUCCCUGCCAUGUCUCUAUUACCUAGAAUUGCUUUUGCUAUUCUGGGUCUCUUCUUGUUCCAAAUGAAUUUUUGGAUUGUUUUCUCGAGGCCUAUAAAGUAUGCUGCUGGAAUCUCAGUUGUAAUUGCAUUAAAUCUAUAUAGCAGUUUUGGAAGUAUGGCCAUUUUCACUAUAUUAAUCCUUCCUACCCAGGAGCAGGGGAUGUCUGUCC